AACGCUGGGUCAGUGCUUAAGAGAAAAAGUCGCAUGCUCAUCAUUCUGUAGCAAUACAGAGUGUUUGCCCAUGGCAAACGGGAGCAUAACACGUGGGCAACCUUCCCUUCGGUGGGGGAUACCCCCGCUAAAGCGGGACUAAUACCGCAUAACACUCCCUGGGUUAGCUCUCAGGGUUUCAAAGCAUCAAUGCGCCGGAAGAGGGGCCCGCGGCCGAUUACCUUGUUGGCGAGGUAACGGCUCACCAAGGCUAAGAUCGGUAGCCGGUCUGAGAGGAUGAUCGGCCACACUGGAACUGAUACACGGUCCAGACUCCUACGGGAGGCAGCAGUGGG
rnacentral:rRNA from 1 species